rnacentral:lncRNA from 1 species
AUAAAUUUGUCCUAAAGUGCUGGGACAAAUUCUGAAGGUAAAAAAGUAACCAAAGGUUUGUAAAAGGAAAGCCCUAAAGAGGUUUAUGUCUGGUCAAGUUGGCCAGGAGUAAAGUAAAUCCAAUUAAGUAAAUAAACUUAUAUGUCAAAAGUAAACUGACACAGGGGCUGGCCCCGUGGCCGAGUGGUUAAGUUCGCGCGCUCCGCUGCAGGCGGCCCAGUGUUUCGUUAGUUCAAAUCCUGGGCGCGGACAUGGCACUGCUCAUCAGACCACGCUGAGGCAGCGUCCCACAUGCCACAACUAGAAGGACCCACAACGAAGAAUAUACAACUAUGUACCGGGGGAGCUUUGGGGAGAAAAAGGAAAAAAAAUAAAAGCUUUAAAAAAAAAAAAAAAGUAAACUGAUACAAAAUUAAAACUUGGUUUCCUCUUUCUUAAAAGGAUAAUUUUCCUAAAUUUUUAAUCUGAUCUUUAUAAAAAGAUUAUAAAAAGGCUUUUUUUUGUUGACUAUUUUAACUGUUUCCCCUUGACUGUUUCUAUUGUCACUUUGAAUAGAUACCUGAACAUGGUUUCGCAGUGAACUUUGUCUCCUAUCUAAACAAAUGUUUUAAAGCUUUUAGUAUUUCUGACAAGCUUCCCCACACACACAAAUAUUCAAGUCUUGAAUAAAAGCUUUCUUUUUACCUGGAAGAGGAGAGAGAGUUUCUUUGGGGAUUUUCAGAGGGCCCCUGGGACUUCUCAGAGAAAGCUCUCUUCCUAUAAGAAAAAUAAUGCUAAACUAAUAAGCCUUAUUUUUUUUGUUAAAUUACAUGAGAAACGUUGUCAAAUAAGUAAUGAUAAGCUUUCUUAAAUGGUAUUAUGUAAAUGAGUGUUAUUGAUACAUAUAUUUAAAAAAUUAUCUGAGCUGUUCUGAUUGCCAGCUAUAAUCCUGGUUAUUAUCUCAAAAUGUUGUAUAUCACAGACAUGGUCAAAUGCCUUUGUCAAUUACCAUUUUUGUACGUUUUGUUAUUUGUGAACAGUGGCUAUUUUACUUUGAUGUUUUGGCAAAUAUGUUUCAUCUGCAGAGAAAUUCAUGGAAAGGACUCUGACACUCUGGAAUACAGGUUUCCAGUAAACGUUCAGAUUGUAAAACUAAACUGGGUAAGAAUUACAGAACUCCAACAGAGAAACUGAUGACCUCACAAACUGCUGACAGAAGAUUAAGAUCAAGAACCGAUUACACAGGACAGAAUAAACUGAUAGGGAUGAUUAUAACUUUAAUGACUUUUUGAUUGAGAUAUUGCUGAUUUUUGAUGUUUUGCUUUUUUCAGAGUGAAGAAAACUUUUUUUCUCUAUUCUCUGAAAGAACUAUGACUUGCAACAAUUUAUAAACAAAAUUGAAACAUUUGUCUUUUCCUCCCUAUCUGAGCCCCCCAAAACGCAAAAACUUCUGAUAAGUAAGUAUUCUUAUUCUUAUGGCAAUAUAGUUGUUUGCAUAAGUGCAAUAAGAAUCUGUUCUUCUUUCAACAGGACACAAUUGGAAACAGUGGUUAUAUUACCAAGGCUUUGACUGGAACAUCAUGUUUGAAAAAACAGAUGGGCUUGAGUAUAACAAGACAGCUUUUGAGGAAUGAAGGUUGACAUUCUGGAAUAAAGCCACUUGGAAAUAUUGGCCUGGUACUGUGCUUAUGGGUUCUGUAACCUGAAAAACUUCGUAUUAAAUACCUGGUUACUAACUUACAUGAUACAGGCCCACCUUCAGGAGCCCACCAGCAUCACCGCCUUAUUAAAAGACUGGUUCAAUGAGAUGAAAUGACCUAUGCCCCAUUUCAGCAGGAAGUAGCUAGAUCCGUCGCCGCCCCCAAAUCCCUCAAGAUUGAGGGAGGACAUAAAAUAGGGGGGAGUUGAUAUCGACCCUGAUAUCAGUUUCCCCACAUUAAACUCAGCAUGUAUGGGGUUAAAACCAAAACACUCAUUCCCUGCUUACUCUCUGGCUUCCUGGCUCCAGAAUCCACUAUCCUCCAUGGAGACAGACACCGUCAAGGACAAGCACCUGGACUAUCUCCUCCCGCAAAGAGAUACGGGCUGGUGGGGAAGCUCCGACCAGCAAGGCCAUAUGCUCCCCCUCCCCUACCUGAAACCCCAAAUAGAAACCCUUCCUUUUAGCUUUUCGGGGAGUUUGGGAUUUCAGCGUUAGCUACCCUCUCUCCUUGCUCAGCGCUGUGCAAAAGUAAAGUUCCUACUUUCUUCCACCACCCCCGGUGUCAGAGAUUGGCUUGCUGUGCAACGGGUGAGGGAACUCACUUCAUGUUUGGUAACAACAUGACCUCCUUUCACCUCAGUUACUUCUUCAAAGGCACUGUCUUCAAACACAGUCACAGGCUGAGGUACUAGGAGUUAGGACCUUGUCAUAUGAAUUUUGAGGGGGACACAAUUCCGUAACAAGAGGGAAGGGAAUAUGUUGUUUCUAGACAUUUUCUUUCUUCCACUGGAAUACACUCAAAUGAAUACAAAGUCCCCUCCUAGUGUUUAUCCUCUUUUCCUACUGUGUCUCUUGAGUACCCAUCAUCCAGCCAUAAGUUCUUCUCGGGUUGUUCUUUGUUCUAAAUGCAAGGCUCCUUUGGGAUCAUCAGCCCCCUCUCAGAUCCUUACAUGCCACGUUCUCCCUUGAUACUCCAACGUCUGUGAAAAAUAGGGGAUGGGAAUGCUGGUGGCUUUCUUGGGUCCUCCUAUGGCUAAACAUGUGAGUCUCUCGCUUCUACUUACCGACUCUACACCUUGAAUUAUGGUGCACAACUGUAAGGCUGCUAGCUCCAGAGGUCCAGAGGUAAGGCCCUAAUCUCCUUUACUAUGGUCUUACCAAAUAUACAGGAUAUUUUAUCAUCCCCAGACUUGGUCAAACCUUGGUAAGCUGGAGGAAACCCGUAUUCCCAUCUAAUUUUUUUUGCCUCUUCCACAAAAUCCUCACUUCCCAGAAGGGUAAAACUUCAUGUAGGCCUUGAGUAGGGAGAAUCUGGUUUUUCAUCUAUUUUCUUUCUUG